rnacentral:rRNA from 1 species
UUAAGUUAUUAAGGGCGCACGGUGGAUGCCUUGGCACUAGAAGCCGAUGAAGGACGUUACUAACGACGAUAUGCUUUGGGGAGCUGUAAGUAAGCUUUGAUCCAGAGAUUUCCGAAUGGGGAAACCCAGCAUGAGUUAUGUCAUGUUAUCGAUAUGUGAAUACAUAGCAUAUCAGAAGGCACACCCGGAGAACUGAAACAUCUUAGUACCCGGAGGAAGAGAAAGAAAAUUCGAUUCCCUUAGUAGCGGCGAGCGAAACGGGAAGAGCCCAAACCAACAAGCUUGCUUGUUGGGGUUGUAGGACACUCUAUACGGAGUUACAAAGGACGACAUUAGACGAAUCAUCUGGAAAGAUGAAUCAAAGAAGGUAAUAAUCCUGUAGUCGAAAAUGUUGUCUCUCUUGAGUGGAUCCUGAGUACGACGGAGCACGUGAAAUUCCGUCGGAAUCUGGGAGGACCAUCUCCUAAGGCUAAAUACUCUCUAGUGACCGAUAGUGAACCAGUACCGUGAGGGAAAGGUGAAAAGCACCCCGGAAGGGGAGUGAAAUAGAACCUGAAACCGUGUGCUUACAAGUAGUCAGAGCCCGUUAAUGGGUGAUGGCGUGCCUUUUGUAGAAUGAACCGGCGAGUUACGAUUUGAUGCAAGGUUAAGCAGUAAAUGUGGAGCCGUAGCGAAAGCGAGUCUGAAUAGGGCGUUUAGUAUUUGGUCGUAGACCCGAAACCAGGUGAUCUACCCUUGGUCAGGUUGAAGUUCAGGUAACACUGAAUGGAGGACCGAACCGACUUACGUUGAAAAGUGAGCGGAUGAACUGAGGGUAGCGGAGAAAUUCCAAUCGAACCUGGAGAUAGCUGGUUCUCUCCGAAAUAGCUUUAGGGCUAGCCUCAAGUGAUGAUUAUUGGAGGUAGAGCACUGUUUGGACGAGGGGCCCCUCUCGGGUUACCGAAUUCAGACAAACUCCGAAUGCCAAUUAAUUUAACUUGGGAGUCAGAACAUGGGUGAUAAGGUCCGUGUUCGAAAGGGAAACAGCCCAGACCACCAGCUAAGGUCCCAAAAUAUAUGUUAAGUGGAAAAGGAUGUGGCGUUGCCCAGACAACUAGGAUGUUGGCUUAGAAGCAGCCAUCAUUUAAAGAGUGCGUAAUAGCUCACUAGUCGAGUGACACUGCGCCGAAAAUGUACCGGGGCUAAACAUAUUACCGAAGCUGUGGAUUGUCCUUUGGACAAUGGUAGGAGAGCGUUCUAAGGGCGUUGAAGCAUGAUCGUAAGGACAUGUGGAGCGCUUAGAAGUGAGAAUGCCGGUGUGAGUAGCGAAAGACGGGUGAGAAUCCCGUCCACCGAUUGACUAAGGUUUCCAGAGGAAGGCUCGUCCGCUCUGGGUUAGUCGGGUCCUAAGCUGAGGCCGACAGGCGUAGGCGAUGGAUAACAGGUUGAUAUUCCUGUACCACCUAUAAUCGUUUUAAUCGAUGGGGGGNGGGGGGACGCAGUAGGAUAGGCGAAGCGUGCGAUUGGAUUGCACGUCUAAGCAGUAAGGCUGAGUAUUAGGCAAAUCCGGUACUCGUUAAGGCUGAGCUGUGAUGGGGAGAAGACAUUGUGUCUUCGAGUCGUUGAUUUCACACUGCCGAGAAAAGCCUCUAGAUAGAAAAUAGGUGCCCGUACCGCAAACCGACACAGGUAGUCAAGAUGAGAAUUCUAAGGUGAGCGAGCGAACUCUCGUUAAGGAACUCGGCAAAAUGACCCCGUAACUUCGGGAGAAGGGGUGCUCUUUAGGGUUAACGCCCAGAAGAGCCGCAGUGAAUAGGCCCAAGCGACUGUUUAUCAAAAACACAGGUCUCUGCUAAACCGUAAGGUGAUGUAUAGGGGCUGACGCCUGCCCGGUGCUGGAAGGUUAAGAGGAGUGGUUAGCUUCUGCGAAGCUACGAAUCGAAGCCCCAGUAAACGGCGGCCGUAACUAUAACGGUCCUAAGGUAGCGAAAUUCCUUGUCGGGUAAGUUCCGACCCGCACGAAAGGCGUAACGAUUUGGGCACUGUCUCAACGAGAGACUCGGUGAAAUCAUAGUACCUGUGAAGAUGCAGGUUACCCGCGACAGGACGGAAAGACCCCGUGGAGCUUUACUGUAGCCUGAUAUUGAAAUUCGGCACAGCUUGUACAGGAUAGGUAGGAGCCUUUGAAACGUGAGCGCUAGCUUACGUGGAGGCGCUGGUGGGAUACUACCCUAGCUGUGUUGGCUUUCUAACCCGCACCACUUAUCGUGGUGGGAGACAGUGUCAGGCGGGCAGUUUGACUGGGGCGGUCGCCUCCUAAAAGGUAACGGAGGCGCUCAAAGGUUCCCUCAGAAUGGUUGGAAAUCAUUCAUAGAGUGUAAAGGCAUAAGGGAGCUUGACUGCGAGACCUACAAGUCGAGCAGGGUCGAAAGACGGACUUAGUGAUCCGGUGGUUCCGCAUGGAAGGGCCAUCGCUCAACGGAUAAAAGCUACCCCGGGGAUAACAGGCUUAUCUCCCCCAAGAGUUCACAUCGACGGGGAGGUUUGGCACCUCGAUGUCGGCUCAUCGCAUCCUGGGGCUGUAGUCGGUCCCAAGGGUUGGGCUGUUCGCCCAUUAAAGCGGUACGCGAGCUGGGUUCAGAACGUCGUGAGACAGUUCGGUCCCUAUCCGUCGUGGGCGUAGGAAAUUUGAGAGGAGCUGUCCUUAGUACGAGAGGACCGGGAUGGACAUACCUCUGGUGUACCAGUUGUCGUGCCAACGGCAUAGCUGGGUAGCUAUGUGUGGACGGGAUAAGUGCUGAAAGCAUCUAAGCAUGAAGCCCCCCUCAAGAUGAGAUUUCCCAACUUCGGUUAUAAGAUCCCUCAAAGAUGAUGAGGUUAAUAGGUUCGAGGUGGAAGCAUGGUGACAUGUGGAGCUGACGAAUACUAAUCGAUCGAAGACUUAAUCAA